AGUUCAUCACCAGUGGCAUAAGUAGAGGAGGCAUAUGCGGUGGGGAGGCACACAAGGUACUUCCUUGAAAUUAAAUAAUAAAUCAAGGUACGGAAUGUACACAUGGUUAUAACAUAAUUAUUUUAAAUUAAAAAGGUAUCAAGACGCGGAAUGCACACAUGAUCCUUUUAUUAUUUAAGCGUAUCAAUCCAAGGUUCGGG
rnacentral:lncRNA from 1 species